rnacentral:rRNA from 1 species
AUUGAACGCUGGCGGCAGGCCUAACACAUGCAAGUCGAGCGGUAGAGAGGUGCUUGCAUCUCUUGAGAGCGGCGGACGGGUGAGUAAUGCCUAGGAAUCUGCCUAGUGGUGGGGGAUAACGUUCGGAAACGGACGCUAAUACCGCAUACGUCCUACGGGAGAAAGCGGGGGAUCUUCGGACCUCGCGCCAUUAGAUGAGCCUAGGUCGGAUUAGCUAGUUGGUGAGGUAAUGGCUCACCAAGGCGACGAUCCGUAACUGGUCUGAGAGGAUGAUCAGUCACACUGGAACUGAGACACGGUCCAGACUCCUACGGGAGGCAGCAGUGGGGGAAUAUUGGACAAUGGGCGAAAGCCUGAUCCAGCCAUGCCGCGUGUGUGAAGAAGGUCUUCGGAUUGUAAAGCACUUUAAGUUGGGAGGAAGGGUAGUAACCUAAUACGUUGCUACUUUGACGUUACCGACAGAAUAAGCACCGGCUAACUUCGUGCCAGCAGCC